GAUGCUAAUACCGGAUAACAACAGAUGAUGCCUAUCAACUGUUUAAAAGAUGGUUCUGCUAUCACUCUUGGAUGGACCUGCGGUGCAUUAGCUAGUUGGUAGGGUAACGGCCUACCAAGGCGAUGAUGCAUAGCCGAGUUGAGAGACUGAUCGGCCACACUGGGACUGAGACACGGCCCAAACUCCUACGGGAGGCAGCAGUG
rnacentral:rRNA from 1 species